UGAGCAGAGAGGAUGGAUAGACAGGCCUUUUUCUGCUCCCUUUUUCCUCUGAUCUUUUCUCGGGCCAUGCAGGUCUGUUCUCACUGUUUGCUCAAGAAAGAGCUCAUGCGGACUUAUUUUCUGUUUUCUCUUUUUGACGUCAGUGCUUUCAGCAUGGUUAGACCUGAAGGACGUGGGAUUUAGGAUGAGGAAGCUCCAGCCCUUGAACCUUAGAGCUUUUCCAAUGGCUUCCAGUUAUGCCAAACAGCAGAAAGCCUGGAGAAGACAUCUGAAGGCUGGGCUUGGGGUGAAGAGGCAUUGCAUGAGGACAGGACAUUCCACGCCUGGCUGCUGAAUGGCUGUAGGAAGCAGUUUCUUCGGAUAGUUUUACAGCAUGCUGGUGGCCAGCAGGAUUGUUUGAAGGAGGAGAAACCUGCUUCAUGCAUCCCAUGUCCCUGCAUCUUCUGGAAGCUGGACAGGUUCCGCAGCUCUCGAUGCCCUCUCCAAGCAGGAGUCCUGGGCUGAUGGAAGUGGGCAGUGUCUUCUCCAGAAGCACCCAGCCAGCCCUGCGGAAGGUGUGUGUCUGUGAUCACGUGAGGGCUGCAGUGAUGCUCUCGUGUUUCAGAAGCUGAGCUACGUUUCAGAAAGGAGGGGAGCCAGCUAACAAAAGAAAUCCAGAGAAGAGCAAAAAGCGUUGUGUUUAUGAAGAACAAUUGAACAGGCCAGACAUCUCCAGCCUGUGAGGGAUACAGCAGAGGUCUAUAAAAUCAUGAGUGGCCUGGAAAAAAAUGAAUUGAUUGCUGCUCUUACCUGUUUCCAGAAAAAGCACUUUCAGAAGAAACCAAAGGCCAGAGCUUGCAUGGUUGUAAAGUUCCUUGUGUGCCUUGCAGCUCCAGGAGCUCGUGUUCAAGAAGUGAAACGGAGCCAACAUCUGAUUAAGGCAGAUUCGGUCAGGUCAGGGAAAUGAGCUUCCCCAGGGACUUUCUACUGCUGCUGAAAGAGCUCAAGGUUUAAGACUCCUAUCUGCCCCACAGAAACAGAAAUGAUGGGAAUGUGGUUGCCACAGAUGAGGCUAAACUUCACCACUUACAGGAUGACUGGCUUUCUCAGGACACUGGGUGAAGAUCAGCUUGAGAAGAGGCAGCAGAUACAGAAGAUGAUGACCCAGCUACCUGGAAGAGAAACAACAGAGUCUCAGGAGAAUGUGGGCAGCAAGGGGUUUUCUUGAAGAUGCUCACAGCAGAGAACCCUCCAAGUAUGGAGUAAAAAGCCAGUUCUGUACUGUAAAGCAAUAGAUUCCAGCAGCCAAAGAGGGAAAAGAAAUGAUUGCCAACGUGCUUUCCCUCCAGCAAGCUGGAAAGUAAAUUUGAAACUGAGUGUGAACAGUAAGCAGCUCGUGUGUGCCUUCUUAGGACAUGCCAGCCCUGUCAGCAGUCAUGGCCUGGUCUUAGAAAUGAAACUUAUUUUGUUAGGCCCUGCCUUGGGUCACUGCCCAUGGCGGCCUGUCUCUUUUGCAUCGUGCCAUCUUCACUUGUGGGAGCAAUGGGCUUGGUUUUGGAUCUCGUUCUAACCACUGUUUAUGCAGCCACCUCCUUGUGCCAAACCAAGCUGGACUCCAAGGCCACGUCUGUGCUCUCUGGAACAGCACUGGUGCAAUCUUGAUUCCUGUCUGGUUGGUAUUGGCAGCUGGAUUAUCAAGAUGUCUUGAGAAAGUACUUCUGCAAGUAUUUUUCAUAUAAUCAGAGCUGUUAGCAGUGAAAUAUCUUCCCCAGAAAGGAUUCUCCUGAGCUGCACACCGUGACUGCUGCCUUGACAUUCUCCCAAGCUGACAUCCCGACCGGUAUGACACUGAUGCCUUUGGGCAGAAAUCAGAGCCGGUUUGCUACAUGCCUCCAUGUAGCCACGAUGCCUGUAGCGCCUCUGAGAGCCCCCAGUGCCCUGGUGGGGAAAUGGAGCGAGCACGUGGGCCCCAGAUGAACUCCAGGGAGAGAGCAGGCAUUUUCCGUGGUGAUCCUGCUACCCGUUUCCAGUUGUUGAGCUGGCUGGAAGAGAAGCCCUCCGACCGUCUGCUUUAUAUUCAGAUUUCAGAUUUGAGUCCUCACUUAAAGGCACAGCUGUCCCUUGACUUCAGCUAAUUGCCACGUUCCCUUGAAGGAGUGAUGCCUCUCCCAAGCUUCUGUGCUAGCAUCAAGAGAGAACUGAUCUAUGGGCUACUCAGUGGUUACUUACAUCAUUCUUGUGCUUCCAGCCACGUGACCUGACCGCAGGCUUUCAAAAGAUCUUGAAAGCAAACAAUAAAAGCCGUAAUGAAAGAAAGCAGCUCAUGCGCAUGGGGAGUACAAGCCAAGCCAUGUCCAUGCCCAAGCAAGUUCAGCAGCCAAUACAAACACCACCACUGUGUUUUGGAAACUCUGCUGGCCUCUCUGGAUUUUGGGAGCCAACACGGUGACGGAAGCCGAUGGCGAAAGCAGUGAGCGAAAACCUCAAAGCUGUGAAAACCGGAAUUUGCCAGCCAUCCAGCUGGACCAGAGGUACCACCACCCAUCUGCUGCACAGCCCCUCACUGCGAGAAGUCCUCCUCACAGAGCUCACUUUAAGGAAGGGGCAGGACAGAGUGAUUCCAGUGGAAUCCACUCCAUGACUCGGCGUGGUUGGCAGCCUCACGUGCAGUCACGUAUGCGCGCAUCUCCUGGUGCAGACAGCAAGCCUCAGAGGAGCAGCAGGAGGAGGCUCAUAUCCCCUGGAGCCAUGGUUGCACUCCUGGCCAUGCUGCUUGCUGACUUGCAUCUCUCCUCGUGCCAUGCUCACAGCUGCGUGCAGAGCCCAUGUGCUCGGUACAUGUCAUACAGUCGGUGGUUACCAGCGCUAAUUGAAACAUCAU
rnacentral:lncRNA from 1 species